rnacentral:rRNA from 1 species
GCACAAGCGGUGGAUGAUGUGGUUUAAUUCGAUGCAACGCGAAAAACCUUACCCACCUUUGACAUGGCAGGAAUCCUAAAGAGAUUUGGAGUGCUCGAAAGAGAACCUGCACACAGGUGCUGCAUGGCUGUCGUCAGCUCGUGUCGUGAGAUGUUGGGUUAAGUCCCGCAACGAGCGCAACCCUUGCCAUUAGUUGCUACGAAAGGGCACUCUAAUGGGACUGCCGGUGACAAACCGGAGGAAGGUGGGGAUGACGUCAAGUCCUCAUGGCCCUUAUAGGUGGGGCUACACACGUCAUACAAUGGCCGGUACAGAGGGUAGCCAACCCGCGAGGGGGAGCCAAUCCCACAAAGCCGGUCGUAGUCCGGAUCGCAGUCUGCAACUCGACUGCGCGAAGUCGGAAUCGCUAGUAAUCGCGGAUCAGCAUGUCGCGGUGAAUACGUUCCCGGGUCUU